rnacentral:rRNA from 1 species
AUUGACCGCUUGCGUCAGGCCUAACACAUGCAAGUCGAACGAGUGGCGGACGGGUGAGUAAUGUCUGGUAAACUGCCUGAUGGAGGGGGAUAACUAAUGGAAAAGGUAGCUAAUACCGCAUACCAUCAGAUGUGCCCAGCUUGGAUUUGCUUGUUUGUGGGGUAACGGCUCACAAAGGCGACGCUCCCUAGCUGGUCUGAGAGGAUGACCAGCCCCUCUGGAACUGAGAAACGGGACAGACUCCUAAGGGAGGCAGCAGUGGGUAAGAUUGGACAAUGGGCGCAAGCCUGAUGCAGCCAUGCCGCGUGUAUGAAGAAGGCCUGCGGGUUGUAAAGUACUUUCAGCGGGGAGGCGUUACCCGCAGAAGAAGCACCGGCGAACUCCGUGCCAGCAGCCGCGGUAAUAC